AAAUGAAUAGACGGGGGCCCGCACAAGCAGUGGAGUAUGUGGUUUAAUUCGAGGCAACGCGAAGAACCUUACCAGGGUUUGACAUCCCGUGCGAUAACUGGAGACAGUUAGUUCCCUUCGGGGACAUGGAGACAGGUGGUGCAUGGUUGUCGUCAGCUCGUGUCGUGAGAUGUUCGGUUAAGUCCGGCAACGAGCGCAACCCUUAUUGCCAGUUGCCAUCAUUUGGUUGGGCACUUUGGCGAGACUGCCGUUGACAAAACGGAGGAAGGUGGGGAUGACGUCAAAUCAUCAUGCCCCUUAUAUCCUGGGCUACACACGUACUACAAUGGGCGUUACAGAGGGCAGCCACACCGCGAGGUGGCGCGAAUCCCAAAAGGCGUCCUCAGUUCGGAUUGCAGGCUGCAACUCGCCUGCAUGAAGUCGGAAUUGCUAGUAAUGGCAGGUCAGCAUACUGCCGUGAAUACGUUCCCGGGCCUUGUACACACCGCCCGU
rnacentral:rRNA from 1 species